UUUUAAUUUUUAUUUUUAUCGUGCUUUAAGUGAAAGUUUACAAAUCUUAUAUACACCUUGCUAUGUACUCCUAGUUGCUCUCCCCCUAAUGAGACAGCACACUCCCCUCCACCUUGUGUUCCCGUGUCCAUUCAGCCAUCUUCUGUCCUCCUCAGCCUUCACACUUCCCCUUGAGACAGGAGCUGGCCACAGAGUCUCAUGUGUCUACUUGAGCCAAGAAGCUCACUCCUCACCAGUAUCAUUUUCCAUCCCCUGUUCCAGUCCAAUCCCUGUCUGAAGAGUUGGCUUCAGGAAUGGUUCCAGUCUUGGGCUAACAGAAGGUCUGGGGACCAUGACCUCCGGGGUCCCUCCAGGCAUCUUGCUUUAAAAAAACAAAAAAGGUAAAGCGCACCAGGAAGACCCCAUCAGGAAUGUGGCUUUGUGGUUCUGUGUGAAAUUAUGCACCCAGUCCCUCAUAGUGGAUGGUAUUUAUGGGUUUUGUAAUGUAAAGCUACCUGUGGUGUUAUUUUUAUAUCUGCUGUCGGGCUGUGAUUGCGUACACAGCCGUUAAGGCGCUUCUGUUAAUGUACCCUGGGCUGGAGAAAAAAAUCUGUGACCGUUCUUAUCUGAUGAGGUUACAUUUUCUUUCUGAACAAUGUUGAGGUGUCAUAAACCAAUAGAUCAGAAAUGGUCCUCUUCAUAUGCAGGAUUUAUUACUCACACUCCAGGCAUUCAAACCAAACCCAAACUCUUUGCCAUUGAGUCGAUUCCAACUCAUAGCGACCCUAUAGGACAGAGUAGAACUGCCCCGUAGAGUUUCCAAGGAGCACUUGGUGGAUUUGAACUGCUGACCUUUUGUUUAGCAGCCGUAGCUCUUAACCACAAAGGCCCCCAAUCCUAGUGGGGGUAGAGAAGGCACAGAGCUGCUAUGGGUGCAUUUGGCCCUCAUCAGUGAGCUGUCCAGCAGAACGCGGCUGCAGUGAGGCGCUGAGGUUUAACAGGCCAACGUGGCCUUGGAGACUUAUUCUGCCUUUCAUUGGCUGGGUGACUUUGUGUUCCUUGUCUUUCUGUGUUCUAAAGAUGAGCUUGGAUUCCCGGGUCAGCUUCUCGUGGUGAUGGGGCCACUGAGGGUCUCUCUCCUCUUCAGUCUCUCUCCACACAUCACCAGGCACUCAGAUAUCAUUUAGAGUCUGCAUUAGUGUCCUAGAGUUGCUGUAACAAGAUACCACAAACUGGGUGGCCUAAAAGAACAAAAAUGUAUUGUCUCAUAGUUCUGGAGGCCAGGAGUCCAAAUUCAGGGUGUUGGCUGUGUUGCUUCUUUCUGAGGCUCUGAGGGAGAAUCUGUUCCGUGCUUCUCUCCUAGCUUCUGGAGAUCCUUGGCGAUCCUGGGCUUGUGGCUCCAAUCUCUGCUUCUGUUGUCACAUGGCUGUCUUCCCUCUGUCUUUCUGUCUCCAUGUACCUUCUCCUCUUUCAUAAGGAUACCAGUCAUAUAGGUAUAGGACCCACCCUACUCCAGUAUGACCUCAUGUUGACCUAACUGAUAAAAUCGUCCAAGACCCUAUUUCCAAACAAGGUCGUGUUCGCAGGUACAGGGGUUAGGACUUCACCGUGUCUUUUUUGGGGACACAAUUCAAUCUAGCACACACAGACUUACUCAUAUUCUGUGGACAUUUUGGAGAAUAAGACAAAAGAAAAUAAUGAUGAGCCACAGUUUCAUAAUUCUCAAGUGGAUGCAAUUCGUCAACCCAUUCAAUCAGCCUCUUAGUCAGCACUUUUCUUUUCCCUUAUUCAGACUUGCACUGACGUACUUCUAAUACCUGGAAAAGGGGAACUCGUGUUCCUGGGUUUCCCCAAAGAGGAAGUGAAAGAAACAAGCAAAACAAUUCCAUUCAACAUCAACAAUAACCAAAAAUCCCCCGAAAACUGCUUAUAGAACUAUGACUUGUGCCUUCAGUUCACUACACGUCUAAAAUAAGAACGGUAUGCAGCAGGAGAAGGUCAAGAAGUUUUUUUAAGAAUGAAAUGUGGAAAUGGAGUCAUCCCAGGCUCCUUGUGUGUGCAGAUUGCCUUGCUCUGUGUAUUUGAAGAGGACUCUGGCAAGUUCAUUCUCCAGACAAGAGCUCACCACAGGCUAGGUGACUUUAAAAGAAGCUGAGGAUUAGGGGUACAGAGUUUCUGUUUGGGGUGAUGAAAAUGUUUUGGAAAUAAAUCGUGGUGAUGGUUGAAGAUGCUGAGAAAAGUGCACAAAGCUGUGUGCCUCGUAAGUACCUUCAUAUGAGGUUCUGGCUUUGCUUAUUCCGUUUAAUUCAAGACAGGCAAUCUGCCAUUUCUAUUACUCUCAGCAACUUUCAAAAGGGGUUGACCUGCGUGGUUGGUUUCCGUGGGCCUCCUCACCAGGACAGGUCUCCUCUCAUCUAGAGAAAGAAAGAGAAAGAGAAGUACCUAAAUGCAUGCUGGCCAACGUCCACAUAUGGGCUCUGACAGACAGAGGGCGCCAAGAGGCAUCUCUUGGGCAUUUCUUCCUCACUUGAUCCAAAACCAAGCCAAACCCCUUGCCUAGUCCAUUCUGACUUAUAGCAACCCUGUAAGACAUGGUAGAACUGCCCCAUAGGGUUUCCAAGGAGCGGCUGGUGGAUUUGAACUGCCGACCUUUUGGUUAGCAGCUGUAGCUCUUAACCACUGGGCCACCAGGGCUCCUCCUCACCUGAUAAUGCCUCAGUUUUCACUCAGGGUUCUAGGAAGGUAGACUAAUUCAUUUGUUGUCAAAGCGGCAGGUGCGGUGAGGAGUGGGCCGUGACAACAUUCUACCCCCUGUUGUUGCUUUUAGCUGCUGUCCAGUUGGCCCCCGACUCAUGGCAACCUCAUGCGGAAGGGGACAAAACUGUGUUCGAUCCCGCACCAUCCCCGUAAUCAGCUGCAGAUCGGAUCACUGGGAUCCAUAGGUUCUUCCACUGGCUGAUUUUAGGAAGUGGACUGUCAGGCCUUUCUUCCUAGUCUGUCUCAGUCUGGAAGCUCUGCUGAAACCCGCUCAGCAUCAUAGCAACACACAAACUUCCACAGACAGACAGGUGGUGGCUGUGCGUAAGGUGCGUAGGCCAGGAAUCAGACCUGUGUUUCCCGAAUGCGAGGGGAGAGUUCUAUCACUGAACCACCACCGUGCCGCUCUGUGUUUUAACGCUAACCUUUUCAGCAACUCUGAAAAGUAGGGGUUGUUAAGCUAUUCUAUAGAUGAAGAAAUGGAGGCUCAGAGACAGUGUGUGCCGAGUUCAAUGUCACAGAGCUUGUAAGUGGCCGCACUGGGACUGAGCUAGCUCACUGUGGGUCUGGCACAUCCAUGAGGCAGGGAAGUUUCCCUCCUGCCUCUCUAGUGCCACCCUCUCAGGUGGUUUCUUCCCAAGGAUGGCACAGGGCAUGCUCUCACCAGGCUAAUCUGAUCUGAGAGCCACCAAAUGCACCGUGCACCACGGCACACUCAGAUCCUCAGAUACAGGGGUGAUGGCACUGCCAGGCAUCGACUCAUACACUGGGCGUUUUCAAGUAUAUGCAGGAGCCAGUCACAAGGAUGCCGGCAGGCCUGGGGGACUGGAGCCAGUGUCUCGGGGUGGACAGACACUGGCCCCAUAUACGCAGUGGGGGAUUGCUUGCAGGGCUUGGCCCAGAUCCCCUGGGGUUCACACCAGUGACUUGAUCCCUGAACCCAUCAGCAUGUGCUUAGGGGAACACUGGCUAAAUUCAGCCUCACUCCAGGAGACCAAGGAAUCCCUGCGUGGUGCAAACAGUUGACAUGCUCGGCUGCUAACCAAAGGUUGUAGGUUCCAGUCAUCCAGAGAUGUCUCAGAAGAAAGGCCUAGCGAUCUACCCGUAAGAAAUCAGCCUACAAAAACUCUAUGGAGCACAGUUUUACUCUGACACACAUGGAGUCGUCAUGAGUCAGAAUAGACUUGACGGCAACUGGAAGAAGGCCAGGAGCCUGGCUGGGGUUUGUGUCGGGAAAGGUAACCCCACGGAACUUCAAAAGACGAAGAAAACUCACAUGUGUUUGAGUCACUGAAUAGGUGCAGUAUGCUCACGAGGGGUGGCCUGGAGUGGACGUCACGGGCUGAGACUGCUGCCACAGAAGCAGGCUGGCUGUUGCUGGUUCUCUUUGACAGAUUUAUGACAUAGGACCAGCAGAGGUUAGCAAUGGCGCUGUUGACAGAGGCUCCACUUUGCCAGAGGCCUGAAGUCCAGUGGGCAAGGGAUAAAGCUGGGCCAGUGACGUCUCCUCCCCAACUCGCCUUACCCUCUCCUGAGAUUUCCACAUAUGAGCCACAAAGCUAAACUGACAUCGGAAUAGCUAUCGUCCACAUACAACUGUCAUAUCAACGUCACCUUUUACCCUCCUGAUGAUUCUGUGAUAGAGAUGAAGAGAGGUGUCUGUCAUAGAUUGAACUGUGUCCCCCCAAGAUGUGUGUAUUAACUUGGUUAGGCCACGAUUCCCCAGUAUUGUGUGGUUGUCCUCCACUUUGUGAUUGUAAGUUUAUGUUAAGAGGAUUAGGGUGGGAUUGUAACACCAACCUUACCAGGUCACAUCCCUGAUCCAAGGUAAAGGGAGUUUCCCUGGGGUGUGGCCUGCACCACCUUUUCUCUCUCAAGAGAUAAAAGGAAAGGGAAGCAAGCAGAGAGCUGGGGACCUCAUACCACCAAGAAAGCAGUGCCGGGAGCAGAGCGCAUCCUUUGGACCUGAGGUUCCUGCGCUGAGAUGCUCCCAGACCAAGGGAAGACUGAUGACAAGGACCUUCCUCCAGACCUUACACAGAGAGAAAGCAUUCCCCUGGAGCUGACAUCCUGAAUAUGGACUUGUAGCCUUCCAGACUGUGAGAAAAUAAAUUUCUCUUUGUGAAAGCCAUCCACUUGUGGUGUUUCUGUUAUAGCAGCACUAGAUGACUAAGACAGUGUCUUUAUCCCCAUUUAACAGAUGAGGAAGCUGGGAAUCGGGAGAUGCAGUGAUUUUGUCAAGAUAUUUCUGCCAUGUGUGCUGGGCUGAGUCCACCUGGGCCUUCAAACCCUCAGUCCUUCAUGGUGCACCUACCUAGGCUUGUCCCCCAUAUGGGUCUGGCAGGCUCUCGGCCAGGGUCUGACACUGGACUGGGAGGGGAGGAGGAGAAGGAGGGAGGACCCGAGGGCACAGAGUCCCGCCCAUACAUGCUGAGUUCCAGCCCAUCUUGGCCGUGUCCUAGGAGUCCAACUGGGCUGGGCCUGCGCAUUUCUGCUCAUUCCCAGUCUAGGGUCUGACUACACAUAACAAGAAUUUUGCUAACCCCUGACAUGUCACUGGUUUGCAGCCUUGGCUACACCUGGCGGUCACCUGGUAUAUCUGUUUCCAAGGUCUGCCAUAACAGAUUCCACAACUGUGGUGACUUGACACAACAGAAGUCAAUUUCUCUCACAGUUCUGAGGCUAGAAGUCUGAAAUCGAGGUGUCAGCAGGACCAUGCUCCCGCUGAAAGCUCUAGGGAAGGAUGCUUCCUUAUCUCUUCCAACUUCUGGUGAUUCCAGCAGCCCUUGGCAUCCCUUGGCUUGUACACGCUUCAGUCCGAUCUCUGCCCCCUCUUUCACGCAGCAUUCUUCUCUGUGUCUGUGUGUGUGUCCUAUUCUGUCUCUUAUAAAGAUAGUCAUCAUUGGAUUUAGUUAAUCUAGGAUGGUGCAAACAGUUAAUGUGCUUGGCUUUUAACCGAGAGGUUAGAGACUCGAGUUCACUCAGAGUUGCCUUGGAAGAAAGACCUGGCAAUCUACUUCUGAAAGAUCAGCCAUUGAAAACCCUAUGGAACACAGCUCCACUCUGACAGACGUGGGGUCACCAUGAGUCAGAGUUGACUCAAUGGCAACUGCUUUGUAUGACUGAAAAGUCCAAAGUAAGAGAGGCCCGGGGAAAUCCACCUGGUGGAGGCUUUCAGUGUGAUUUCUACCCAGCCUUCUAGUCUUGUCUGGUGCCUAGUCAUUUGGAUGAUGUAUGGAUGUCUUUUUUUGAAAUGGAUAAAAUACAAUGAGAAAGCAGUUCUAGGCAUGCAAUAGGGUGUGUCAAGGUGGUGAAAACAGUUAAUGUGUUCAGCUGCUAACUGAAAGGCUGGCAGCCUGAGUCCACCCAGAGGUGCCUUGGAUGAAAGGCCUGGCAAUCUACUUCCAAAAAAUCAGCCGUGGAAAACCCUAUGGAGCACAAUUCUACUCUGACACACAUAGGGUCGCCAGGAGUCAGAGUCAACCUGAUGGCAGCUGGGUUUUUUUGGGGGGCACCCUAGGCUCUGUCUUGGGCUGUAAUGUGUUAUUUCUGGCUGUUCGACACCUGAACAGCCUUGGACUAAAAGAGGCGGUGUUUGCUGUAACCAGGCGCCGCACUUUGUAAUCGUAUCUUGGGUGUUCACAUGAAGGUUGGGAACAACGCGUUUCUUCAGUUCUUAACGGUUUUCUCAUAAGAAACCAUGAAGUCAGCUUUGUUGGGUUUGUCAGUGGGCUUUCAACCGAGUGCUUUGGUCCACAAAAGGGUUAUUCAGUGCUCCCCUCCGUCUUAAUUAAUUGCAGACCCUCUGGACGGUCGGCCCUAGGGGUCUAUACCCUCCCCCACUCCCCCUCAGUCUGGCUUCCAGUCUGCUCACGGUCGUGUCCCCUCAACGCCGGAGCCCUGCUGGCGGGAGACCCUGGGGGUUUCAGCAGCUCUGUCCCUGCAGCGCGGCUCGGACCCUAGCUGGUUCCUCGCUGAAGUGGGUAUCAGAGCUAAUUUGGGCCCCAGACAUCAACUUGGGGAUCAUUUUCUAAGGCUGGCAGCCCCACAGUUUUAGUUCUAGACCUUGUUCACUGUUAGGGAAAGGGAAUGGGAGCCGGUGGCAUAGUGGUUUAAAUGUUUGCCUACUAACCAAAUGGUCAGCAGUUCAAAUCCACCAGCCACUCCUUGGAUACCCUAUGGGGCAGUUCUUUUCUGUCCUAUAGGGUGGUUAUGAGUUGGAAUUGACUCAAUGGCAACAGGUUUGUUUUUUGGUGUUAUGGAGAAGUGUUGGCUCGUGGGCUCGACAACCUUGCCUAAGGCAGGAUAAAAGAAUAAGGGCCCAGACCUUGGGACCAGCUGUGGUUCAAAUCCCAGCUUUACCCCUGAACAGCUGUGUGACCUGGGGCAGCUUCUUAACCUCUCUGUGCCUACUGUCCCUACCUAACGUAGUUAUGACCAUAGUGCCUGUCUCAGCUUGGGUUCCCAGUAAGUGCUCACUGUCACUUCUGUGACCAUAUUGAAGCUGCACUAUAUCAGGGCAAAUCUGCUGCCAAAGACCCUUUUAAAGUCGCAAAGAUGUCGGUUUGAUAACUAAGGUGUGUCUGUCCCAAGCCAUGGUCUUUUCAAUUGCCUCAUAUGCACAAGAAAGGUGGACAACAACAAAAAAGGAAGACUGAAGAACUGAUGCAUUCCAUAGUGGUGUGGGCAAAGAAUAUUGAAUAUACCUCAAAUUGCCAGACUAAUGAACAAAUCUGUCUUGGGGGAAGUGCGACCAGAAUGCUCCUUUGAAGUGAGGUUGGCAAGACUUCAUCUCAUAUAUUUUGGACAUGUUGUCAGGAGGGACCAGUCCCUGGAGAAGGACAUCAUGCUUGGUAAAGUAGAGGGCCAGAGAAAAAGAGGAAGACCCUCAAUGAGAUGGACUGACACAGUGGCUAAAACAAAGGGCUCCAACCUAGCAAGAAUUGUGAGGAUGGUCCAAGACCGGGCAGUGUUUCAUUCUGUGGUACACAGGUUGCUAUGAGUUGGGACUGACUUGACGGCACCUAACAACAUCAAUAACAACGAGAUUGUACAUUAGUUAUUCUUUUCUGGUUGACUUACUUGACUCAGUGCCCCCAUUCCCAUUUUAGCUGCUGUUACCCCUUACUCGGACAGGCGUCUUAGUCAUCUAAUGCUCCUAUAAUAGAAAUACCACAAGCGGGUGGCUUUAACAAGGAGAAGUUUAUUCUCUCACAGUCCAGUAGGCUAAAAAGAAGUCCAAAUUCAGGGUGCUGGCUCCAAGGGAAGGCUUUCUCUCUCUGUUGGCUCUGAAGGAAUGUCCUUGUCAUCAGCCUUCCCUUGGUCUGGGAGCAUCUCAGUGCAGGAACCUCAAGUCCAAAGGACGUGCUCUGCUUCCGGCACUGCUUUCUUGGUGGUAUGAUGUUCCCCUGUCUCUCUGCUUGCUUCUCUUUUAUAUCUCAAAGAGAUUGGCUUAAGACACUAUCUAGUCUUGCAAGUCUCAUCAAGGUAACUGCCACUAAUCCAUCUCAUUUCAUCACAGUGAUAGAAUUUACAACACAUAGGGAAAUCACGUAAAAUGGUGGACAAUCACACAAUACUGGGACUCAUGGCCCAGCUAAAUUGAGAGAUAUUUUGGGGGGAUGCAAGUCAAUCCAUGACAGCAGGAGACUCUGGGAAGACUGUUUGCAGGGUUUGGGUCUUCACCUCAGAUCUCCCAGGAGAGCAAAGAUGCUUUCCAAUUGUUAAUGACAUGUAGCUCCUUUGUCAAAUCUGUGCUCUUGAUUCCUCGCUUGUCUUGCGUUGACAAGGCUUAUGCAAGCCGCCUCCCUGACUCAUGCCUCCCUCCACCUCACACACUCAAGAGAUUGACUGGUGCUGAACAUGGGAGCUUGCAAAAUAGGGUACAGUUUAUACAGGACCUUGUGUCCUAACAGAAAUGUUCCAGCUCCACCCGAUGUGGUCCUGUGAUGAGUCAUUCCUGGAGAUUCCCCCAGGAGGUCCUAGACGCUGAAGGAAGAUUUAAGAGGUCAGAAGGUGGGGGAAGAGAAGAAAGGGCAGAUGUGGAGGCAAUCAUGACUGUAGACGGUUGUUGUGGUUAUUAGUUGCCUGAGUCAGCUCUGCCUCACACAGUGAAGUUUUGCCCAGUCCUGUGCCACCUUCUUCAUCACUGGUAUGUUUGAGUCCAUUGUUGUGGCUAUGUGUCAAUCCAUCUCAUGGACAGUCUCCCUCAUUUUUGCUGCCCCUCUACUUUACCAAAGGAGACCCUGGGUGGUGCAAAUGGUUAACUGCUGGACUACUAACCAAAAGGUUGGUGGUUCAAACCCACCCAGGGGCACCUUGGAAAACAGGCCUGUCUGUCUACUUCCAAAAGGUCACAGCCUUGAAGACCCUAUGGAGCAGUUCUACUCUGCACAUGUGGGGUUGCCACGAGUGGGAAUCCACACUACUACAGCUAACACCAACUACUUUACAAAGCAUGAUGUCUGUCUUCAGAGAUUGGUCCCUUCUGAGGAUGUGUCCAGCCAAAGAGCUUGGUGCGGCUCAAGAUCUCUGAGGAAGUAGCCUCCAGGACAGCCACUGCCAGGCAUAUUACACCCAUGCUGCAACAACUGUGGAGAAGGCGUUAGAGGGGCGUGUGGAGUUCUCUGGAUCAUAUUUCUUAUCAAAAUAAAAAAGGUAAAAUGCCGAAGUCGAUGCUGGCAAUGAAAUUUCUAGAACGGUGAUUCGUUGUUGUUGGGUGCUACUGAGUUGGUUCUGACUCUUAGCGACCCCAGGUGACAGAAUAAAACUGUCCCAUAGGGUUUUCUUGGCUGUAAUCUUUAUGGAAGCAGAUCACCAUGUCUUUCUCCCAAAGAGCCGCAGGGGGGUUUGAACCGCCAACUUUUCCGUUAGCAGCUGAGCGCUUAACCAUUGUGUCACCAAGUCUCCUUACCCAAUAAUAAUUAUUUGUCAGGUUCUGUUUCUUUGGGGAGGAGUCUCUGGGCAGCACAAGUGGUUAAAUGGUAGAUCUCUGAUGGAAAGUUUGGCCAUUCAAACCCCCCCAGCUCUGCCAUGGAAGAAAGACCUGGUGAUCUGCUUCUGAAAAACCGGCCAUUGGAAACCCGAUGGAGCACGGUUCUACUCUACACACAGGUAGUCGCCAGUAGUUGGAAUUGACUUGAUGGCAACUGGUUCCUUUGGGGACAUUCAGGUAGUCAAAGGUGUGAAAUUAUUGGACUUUUUGUGUUCCUUUGGUAAUCCCAGACCAAGACAACAAAAAUCCUUUGGUAAUACUGCAUGGAAUUCUGGAAACAUAAAUAAAUACAUCCUUCAGUACAUGUUGCAAUGUCUCAUGUUAAAAAUAAGUGACACGCUGAACAGUCAAGUCAAAUGUGAAUUCUAAGCGCUAAGAUGCAACCUGGGAUGGCACUAGCCAUUGCUGAGGUUCCCAGAGUAGUAUUUCCAGAUGGCAAAGUUAAUCUAUUCAUAAAAACUAACAUAAAUGUUUAUUUUUUCAUAACUGUUCAAGUUACACAUGCCCAUUGUAGAAAGCUGGAAAAAUUAAAGAGUAGCGUAAGGAUGACAUUUACCCACAAUAAUCCACCAUCCAGGACAGGCACAGUGAACAUUUUGGUAUAGAAUAUAUUGAUUUGCAUAGGUUGGCUCUUAGUGUUUUCUCCUGCUUAAUACUGUGUCAUGAGCAUCUUUCAUGUCACUGAAAAUUAUUGUUAAGCAUGAUUAAAAAAAUUUUUUUUUAUUAUGGAAAAUUUGAAACUCGUAGAAAAUUAGAGAGCGGUGUAUCAGGAAUUAUCAAUACAUGGCCAAUCUCAUGUCUUCUAACCCCUCCGAUCCCCCACCCUCCACCUCAAAAGUUAUUUUGAAACAGGUCCAGAAAUUAUAUACAGUGAAACCUGUGAAAGCUGGAACUCGACGAGACUGCCAUGUUUUUCUUUGUCUUGCACGUUUUUUGCCUUUGACAGGGUGCAGUCUUACAAUUUUUCUAUCACUCGUUUUUAGUGGAAAAUGUUUGAGUCUUCCUUCUCUGACAGAUUUCCGCCUUACACAGGUUCUGGCUUUCACAGGUUUUACUGAAAUAUUAUCUGUAAAUAUAUCAAUAUAUAUCUGAAAGCUAAGAAAAGACAAGAACUUAAAGAAGAUUAUAAUGCUCUUAACUCUUAUGAAAGAUUAAUAGUAUUUUAUAAUAUUAGCAAAUAUCUAGUCAGUGUUUACAUUUCCCUGAUGGUCUUAGAAAUUUUAUUUUUUGAGUUGGCUUAUUUGAAUUGGGAGACCCACAAUAAGAUGAGAUUGUAACAAUGAACUCAAACAAAAACAAUUGUGAGGAUGGAGCAGAAUCGGGCAACGUUUUGUUCUGUUAUACAUAAGAUUGCCAUGAAGUGGGGCCACCUCGACAGCACCCAACAACAACAACAACAACAUUUGUCUCUUUUGUUACCAUGCAGUUUAUACUGAGCAAUAUUAAAAUUACUACUCUGAGCAAUAUCAAAUUAGCUAUUAACCUCUUCUUCCCUCCCCCUUCCCUCUUUCCCAGAAUCUGAUUUGAAUUAGUAUCCUUUUACUCCUAGUUAGUACCCAUAAGGCAAUCAGAAAGCUUAUUCCAUUUUUCCUAUACACGUCCCGUAUCAUUCCUCUCUUUGUUAUAGCUGCACUGUAUUUCAUCAUCAGAGCAUAUAGCCAUUGUAUGCUACAUUCUAUUCAUUAUAACAUCGUUUACUCUGGUUCUACAGGUGAGUAUUUAACGCUCACCAUCCGUACUUAUGGCCGUGUCUUUCUACUCUUUUUGAAUACACAUUAUUAUGGGUUGAAUUGUGUCCCUCCUCCCCCAUCAAACUUAUGUUGAAGUCCUCACCCCUGUGCCUGUUUGGAAAUAAGGGUUUUCUUAAUGAAGUCAUGCUACAGUAGGGUGGGUUCGAAACCUAAUCUCUUCUGAGUGGUGUCUUAUAAAGAGAGCAGAAUUGAUACAUAAACAGGCCAAGUGAGGACCCAUCUAUAAGUACACCCAAAAAGACCCAAACCCAUUGCUGUUGAGUAGAUAUCCACUCAUAACAACCCUAUAGGAUAGAGUAGAGCUGUCCCAUAGGGUUUCCAAGGAGCAGCUGGUGGAUUCAAACUGCCAACCUUUUGGUUAGCAGCCGAGCUCUUAACCACUGCACCACCAGGGCUCCAUCUGCAAGUAAAGGGACACCAAAGAUUGCUGACAGUCACCAGAAACUAGGAAAGAGUCCCAUAGAAGGAACUGACACGACCAAAACCCUGAUUUGAACUUCUAGCCUCCAGAACGCUGAGAAAAUAAAUUUCUGUCUUUAGAGCCACCCACUUGAGGUAUUUUUGUUUUGUUAUGGCAGUAUUAAGUAACUAAGACACACAUUUACAAUAUUUUAAGAUGAUGUCAUGAGAAAGAAGUGAUGUCGGGCAUUCACCCUCAGAAGACUAAGUCCCUCGAAGACACUCACAGUGCUGGUUUUCUUCUGGCUGCUCUUCUCUACCUCUGGACAUCACGCCUGGUGGUUCUUGAUUAAUGUUGUUGACUGGCUCAGAGGUUGGGGGCCAAGUGCCACCAUUUGCAACUCGUGAUGCUUCGUCUCGCGGCUUUGCUGUGUCAGCACGCAUCAGCUUCUCUUUUAGCUGCCCUGUCAGCUGGCGGGCGAGGGGAUGGAGCAACGUCAAAUAGCAUUGGAGAGGUAGGGUGUGUGGGGCCGGAGCACAACUCCGGAAUUGCCCUUGUUUUAAGUACAGUGAUCUAGUGAGGCAUUUACAAGUUAAGUAAGCUGUGUGGGAAGUGGGGGAGGACUGAGAUAAAUGAAGAGCGAGGUUAGUGAGCUGCAACUGUUGUGGCCCAGUGAUUUCCAAUUACAGGGAGUGUAUUAGUGCCCUGUGGCUGCCGUAACAAAUUACCACACCCUGGGAGGCUUAAAACAACAGAAAUCCAUCCUCUCGCAGUUCAGGAGGCUGGAAGCCUUGAUUCAAGGAGUUGGCAGGAUUGGUUCCUUCUGGCUGCUCUGAGGGAGAAUCUGUCCCAUGCCUUUCUCCUAGCAUCUGGUGGUUGCCGGCAAUCCUUGAUAUCCUUUGGCUUGUACAUGCGUCACUCCCAUAUCUGCCUCCGUCUUCACGUAGGCUUCUCCUUUCUGUGUUUCUGUUUCUUUCCUUUCGCGAUAAGGACACCGAUCGUUGAAUUUAACCAGUAACAAGUUGCUGUUGAGUCGAUUCUUGGCAACCUCACAUGUGUCAGAGUAGAACUGUGCUCCAUAGGGCUUUCACUGGCUGAUUUUUUGCAUGUAGUUCACCAGGCCUUUCUUCUGAGGUGCCUCUGGGUGAACUUGAACCUUCAACUUUUUGGUUAGCAGUUGAGUGCAUUAACUGUUUGUACAUGCAGGGACUCAUUGCAUUUAGGGCCUACCCUAAUCCAGUGUGCCCUCACAUUAAUUAGUGACAUCGGCAGAGAGCCUGUUUCCAGAUAAGGCCACAUUCUGAGGUAUUGGGUAGACCUGAAUUUUGGGAAGGGCCCUCUCCAACCCGCUACAGGGAACAUGCUCAGAGUACUUCAGCUGACAGUGUUGACAUGCCCCUCCCCCUGGAGCUGCUGACAACUCCUCAGAUGGCUGAGCACCUCUUGUUUCUAAGACUUCCUUGGGGUUUUCCCUGCUGCCCACGUCACUGCUUCAGUAUUACUGCCGCACGAGAGCCUUUCUUAUUUCACGAUGUGGUCAGGAAGGAGUGGGGGCUCAUCCAGGGUGCCUAUGUGAGAGGAAACUGGCUGUAGGGGUAUAUAGGAGACUAUGGAGCUUGGGCGUAGUGGUCUCAGUUCUGGCCUUACUGUGGGCAUGUCUCUGUUUUGCUCCCCCUAGUAUUGGUCCCUGGGUGGUGCAAAUGGCUAACGUGCUUGGCUGCUAACUGAAAGGUGCCUCAAAAGAAAGACUUGGUGAUCUACUUUUGAAAAAUCAGCCACUGAAAACCCUAUGGAGCACAGUUCUACUCUGAGACACAUGGUGUCGCCAUGAGUGAAGCUGGCUCAACAGCAACUGGUUAAAAGUCGUGUCAGUGCCUUUCUGUGAGUCUCCCUUCCCCGCCCAUAGAGAAGGAAUGACUAGGCCAACUGGCCCUCCUCCGUAUCAGCUGUUCCUUUUGGUUGGAGUUCUUAUACCAGGCUCACUCCUUCAUGGCUGCCUUGGGGUGACCAGGGCAG